GGGGUAACGGCCCACCAUGGCUUCGACGGGUAGCCGGCCUGAGAGGGCGACCGGCCACAUUGGGACUGAGAUACGGCCCAGACUCCUACGGGAGGCAGCAGUGGGGAAUAUUGCACAAUGGGCGCAAGCCUGAUGCAGCGACGCCGCGUGAGGGAUGGAGGCCUUCGGGUUGUAAACCUCUUUUGUUAGGGAGCAAGGCACUUUGUGUUGAGUGUACCUUUCGAAUAAGCACCGGCUAACUACGUGCCAGCAGCCGCGGUAAUACGUAGGGUGCAAGCGUUAUCCGGAAUUAUUGGGCGUAAAGGGCUCGUAGGCGGUUCGUCGCGUCCGGUGUGAAAGUCCAUCGCUUAACGGUGGAUCCGCGCCGGGUACGGGCGGGCUUGAGUGCGGUAGGGGAGACUGGAAUUCCCGGUGUAACGGUGGAAUGUGUAGAUAUCGGGAAGAACACCAAUGGCGAAGGCAGGUCUCUGGGCCGUUACUGACGCUGAGGAGCGAAAGCGUGGGGAGCGAACAGGAUUAGAUACCCUGGUAGUCCACGCCGUAAACGGUGGAUGCUGGAUGUGGGGCCCGUUCCACGGGUUCCGUGUCGGAGCUAACGCGUUAAGCAUCCCGCCUGGGGAGUACGGCCGCAAGGCUAAAACUCAAAGAAAUUGACGGGGGCCCGCACAAGCGGCGGAGCAUGCGGAUUAAUUCGAUGCAACGCGAAGAACCUUACCUGGGCUUGACAUGUUCCCGACGAUCCCAGAGAUGGGGUUUCCCUUCGGGGCGGGUUCACAGGUGGUGCAUGGUCGUCGUCAGCUCGUGUCGUGAGAUGUUGGGUUAAGUCCCGCAACGAGCGCAACCCUCGCCCCGUGUUGCCAGCGGAUUAUGCCGGGAACUCACGGGGGACCGCCGGGGUUAACUCGGAGGAAGGUGGGGAUGACGUCAGAUCAUCAUGCCCCUUACGUCCAGGGCUUCACGCAUGCUACAAUGGCCGGUACAACGGGAUGCGACAGUGCGAGCU
rnacentral:rRNA from 1 species